rnacentral:tRNA from 1 species
UGAGAUGUAGCUCAGUGGUGAAGCGUGUGCCUGGCAAGCACAAGGCCCUGAGUUUGAUUCCCAUAUCAA